GCCCUAGUAGCUUAUACUAUCUAAAGCGUUGUCCUUGUAAGACAAAGCUGGAACAACCCCUAGAGCA
rnacentral:tRNA from 2 species